CCUACGGGGGGCAGCAGUGGGGGAUAUUGCACAAUGGGGGAAACCCUGAUGCAGCGACGCCGCGUGGGCGAAGAAGUAUUUCGGUAUGUAAAGCCCUAUCAGCAGGGAAGAAGAAAUGACGGUACCUGAGUAAGAAGCACCGGCCAAAUACGUGCCAGCAGCCGGGGUAAUAAGGAAGGGGCAAGGGUUAUCCGGAUUUACUGGGGGUAAAGGGAGGGCAGGGGGGAAGGCAAGCCUGAUGUGAAAGCCCGAGGCCCAACCGCGGGUGUGCAUUGGGAACUACCGGGCAUGAGUGCCGGAGAGGUAGGCGGAAUGCCUAGUGUAGCGGUGAAAUGCGUAGAUAUUAGGAAGAACUCCAGUUGCGAAGGCGGCCUACUGGACGGUGACUGACGCUGAAGCUCGAAAGCGUGGGGAGCAAACAGGAUUAGAUACCCGGGUAGUC
rnacentral:rRNA from 1 species